UACGUAGGGCGCAAGCGUUGUCCGGAAUUAUUGGGCGUAAAGAGCUCGUAGGUGGCGUGUCGCGUCUGCCGUGAAAGCCCAUGGCUUAACUGUGGGUCUGCGGUGGAUACAGGCAGGCUGGAGGCUGGUAGGGGCAAGCGGAAUUCCUGGUGUAGCGGUGAAAUGCGCAGAUAUCAGGAGGAACACCGGUGGCGAAGGCGGCUUGCUGGGCCAGUUCUGACGCUGAGGAGCGAAAGCGUGGGGAGCGAACAGG
rnacentral:rRNA from 1 species